UCUGGGGUGUGGAAGGACACGGCAGGCUAGAGAUGGCGCUGCCUCGGCCUCCGGGACGGGGCGGGUCCCAUCGCUACUGCAGUGCCGACUUCACAGCGACCCCUGUCGCUGGUCUGGGCGUCCUCCCCUUGGUGAGGCCUGUGAUGGUUUUUAAGGUGUGGCUCCCCAGGACCGUGGCCACGCCUGUCACCCGCGCACUCAGGAAGCUGAGGCAGGAGGAUCCUGAGUUCCAGCCCAACUCGGGCAGUUUGCAGACUCAGAGUGACCUCAGGGCGAGGGCCUUGGGUUCAGCCCCCAGUGCUAUCCAAUCAGUGAGUCAGUCAACAAAUAGCCAAAGUGCUCGCUUCAUAUUUCCUAUGAUCUUAACCGGGCAAUCUGAGUGGUUCAGCGUUGAGCAGACACCACCCGUCUGGUUCUCGAACAUUCCCGGCACCCCACAGGCGUUUCCACACCUGCCCACCCCAGCGCCUCAGUGGUCUUCCUGUCCCGAGAUUUCACUCCACACGGUUCCCAUCGGUGCCCUUUCACACACGGGCCCUCUCGUGUCAUCAGGAGGGACGGGGCCCCCAAGUCCACAUCGACAAGCACCCCGUUGGGACAUGAGUGCAAGCUGGGCCCCUGCAGAGGGAGCCACAGGAGGAUCUGGAGGUGAGACCGUCCUGCGUCAGCCUCCUGACCGCAAUGGCAGCGUCCUCAGGAGACGGAGGAGGAGGUACAGACACAGAGGAGCAGCCGUGUGGAGACAGAGGCAGAGACUGAAGUGAUGGGGCCUCCGCCCAGGGCCACUUGGAGCCCUGGGAGGAAGCAGAGGCAGGAGGGUCUCUGCUGGAGCUGUAGAGGGAGCAUGGCCCGGGAUGCCUCAGUCUCAGCCUGCUGGGCUCCCAGGCUGGGGUGUGUGUGCGUGUGCGUGCACCGCGCCUGUGUCUGUGUGUUUGCAUGUGUGCCCGCCUGUCUCACAUACGAGUCUGAGUGUGGGUGUGUUUGCACACACAGGUAUGUGUGUUUUCACAGGUGUUCUUGUAUGUGUGGCCGUGUGAAUGUGUGUGCCUUGCACGCAUUUGUACACACGUGUCUGUGUGAGCCCGUGCAAGGCUGGGGCGAGCAGGAGGCUGAGUCAGGCCGAGCGGGCGCGGUCGGGAGGAAGCUGAGUGGCGGCCUGAGGACCGCACCGGAGCGGGCGCCGCCUCNNNNNNNNNNNNNNNNNNNNNNNNNNNNNNNNNNNNNNNNNNNNNNNNNNNNNNNNNNNNNNNNNNNNNNNNNNNNNNNNNNNNNNNNNNNNNNNNNNNNNNNNNNNNNNNNCCUGUGUCCGGGAAGGCGCGGGGAGGUGGAGGGAGAGGGGCCAGGACCUGCGGGGACGGGCUCCGGACCGGGGCAGCGGGGCAGCGGGGCAGCGGGGAGUUUUCCAGGGCAGGGCGGAGCCUCCCGGGGACCCUGUGAUCCCUCCAACCUUUGUCCCCGAGGCCGCUGCACAAGGCUUUGGGGUCUGAACCCUGCCGGUCCCCUCUGGAAUCACCCACCCCAGGCUCCCACGCCACUGUCCCAGGCCCUGGAUAGUCCUGGUCACCGUGGGGGCCAGUGGACCUCCCGAGGAAUAUCCUGGGAUGUGACAAGGCGGCAGCGCCUCAGGACCCUGGGAGGGGGAUGGAACAUUCUGGAACACAAGCCCUUGAUGUCCACGUCCUCCUGUGGAAAGUUCUGGAACGUGACAAGACGGCGGCCCCUCCUGGGAUCUGCGCUGUGUCCACUCGGGAGUCCCGAGUCCUUUCAGAGCCUCAGAUUCUGCACAGACCGGGGUGAAGAGGGUCAGCGGGUCAUUGUCUGUGUGACAGGCCCCGGGUACGUCGGCGGUGGUGACACCUCGGCAUCUGGGGUGUCCUCGCCCCCACAGGGUCCAGAGGCCAGUGGAUUCCCCACGGGAGGUGGGGCCUGGGGCCAGAGACCCCACACAUCGCCUCACCUGCCUGCACCCUGGACUGCGUCCCCGGGGGACAGAAGGUCUCCCAGGUCAGCUCGGAGCAGGAGCGAGCAGGUCAGAGCUGUGCCUCAGCAUGACCUCCUCGUCCACCCACCAGGGUCUCUGUAGGGCUGUGAGAGCAGCCGGCUCCUCCCAAGUGGUCGUGGGUGUGGGUCCGUGGGUAGCAAGGAUGAACACAAGCCCGGAACCGUGCCGUAUGCCAGACACUCGGGCCCACACACCUUGCAGCCCAGCACCUGGGAGGCUGAGGCAGGAAGAUCAUCACAAGUUUAGGUCCACUCGGGUGUGGUGUCUCCACGGAGUUUGGCUGCAAGAGGCAGCUUCCCUCGUGUGUCUGUGUCCUCCUGUCCUCUUCUUAGCGGGACCCACUAUUGUGGAUAGACGACAGAAUAAACAGAAUAUUACGUGGUCGUGAAAAGGAUCGGGUCUGACGCUGGCUACAGCAAGGGUGGGCCUUGAGUCCAUGGGGCUCAGGGAGAGAUGCUGGACACAGAAGGGCAUAGGGUGCGACGGUCCGGUGCUGCAAACUGCAGAAUAAGCAAAUCCAGAGACAGAGACAGGAAGUGGGCCGGGCGAACGCAGACAGAAAGAGGGACAGCAAAUCCAGAGACAGGAAGUGGGACAGCGAAUCCAGAGACAGGAAGUGGGACAGGGAAUCCAGAGAUAGGAAGUGAGCCGGGCGAGCCCAGAGACAGGAAGUGGGCCGGGCGAACGCAGAGACAGGAAGAGGGUGAAGGUUCCCAGGGCUGGGCAGGGGCAGAGACAGGCCGGAGGUGGUUUGUUGCUGAGUUGUCCGAUGUCACUGGGGAGCUUCACGGUAUGUGAAUCCUACUUUUAAUUUUGAAAAUUUCAAAUAAAAUAAAGGAAACAGAGAAAGGGAGUCAGAACGGCCUGCGCUGAGCUGGGCUCCUGGCGCGUUACCAGGGUGUCUCUGGUCUCUGUGGCUGCUGCGUGUGCGGCAGCAGCAGCAGCGGCGGUGGGGACCUCAGCUCAGCUUCCUCUGCCCACCUCGCUGCCUGGCUCGGAAGGGACGCCAGCGUCGUCACCCUUGGGGUUGUUUUCCUGGAUUUCCUCUGAAAGGAUUCCUGCUUGUUUAAACUUAAAACAGCAAGCCGGGCACGGUGGCGCACGCCUGACAUCCCAGCACUUGGGAAGCUGAGGCGGGAGGGUCGCUGUGAGUUUGAGGCCAGACCAAGCUACACAGUGAGUUCAAGGCCGGCCUGGACUAAAGAGUGAGCCCCUGCCUCUAAAAUAGGCAAAUAAAGAAAUUUAAAAAGGGCCAGGGAUGUAGCUCAGUGGUUCCGCCACCUGCCUCACAAGUGCAAGGUCCCAAGUUCGAUCCCCAGUACCAAAAAGAAAAAAAAAAAAAAAGGCAAGACUUUGAUACAAAGUCCAAGAGCAAAGACUCUUCUUUCCCUGUGCUGUCGGCUCUGGAUGCCGGUGGUGUUUCGCUGUGUUAUCAAUGCUGUUUUAAAUCCCCCGGGGGCUGAAAUGCAGCCUAGGCCAGCCCCAGUGGCUCUGGACUCAGAUCUGACAGCAGGUUUCAAACCUGUGGCAAAGUUCAGUUUCUGUCCACAGAGAAGCCUCAGAACCAACACCAGGGACUCUAUUUGCUGUCAGUAUUUUCAAAAUGUUUCUGCCGAUCUGGUAAAGAAUACUUUUGGGGUGGUGGUUCUGGGGGUUAACCUCAGGUCCUUGUGCUUGCAAAGCAGGCAGUGGCAGCACUGAGCUAAAUCCCUGGCCCUAUCUUUGUUUUUUUGAAACAGGUUCUCUCAACAUGGACCAGACUGGUCACCAUGGAGCUCAGGAUGCCUGGAACUCACAGAGAUCCUCCUGCCUCAGCCUCCUGAGUGCUGACAGUGUGUAGCAUGACUCCAGUUCCUGGUAAGGACGUUUCCUUGUAUUUCGGGCCACCCACAACACGAGCGUGGGAUCUGCUCAAGACCUUCACAUAAUUUCAUCUACAAAGAUAUCUUUGCCACACAAGGCCACACUCUCAGGAUUGAAUGUGCACACGUUGUCUGGGGCUGUACAGUGAGUUACACGGUGAGCCCCAGAUUCAUGGCACCCAGAACGUCACCCUGGGGCCUGAUUGGUAGCAGGGCCCCUGCAGAGGGAAUUAGAGGAGGAUUAGAGAUGAGACUGUCCUGUCUCAGCCUCCUGGAUUCAACGGCUGCGUCCUCAAGGGAGACAGAAAAGGAGGCACAGACACAGAGGAGCAGCCAUGUGGAGAUGGAGGCAGACUGAAGCAGGAGGGCCUCCCUGGGAAGAGGCAGAGGCAGAGGCAGGAGGGUCUCCCUGGAGCCUGUGGAGGGAGCGCAGCCCAGAACGCUCGUCUCAGCCUCCUGGUCUCCAGGAUGGAAAGGGCAGCUCCUGGGGCUUAUGCCCCCCGGCUGUGUCCUCUCCCACAGCACAGGGGGACUGGGCUUCAGAAAUCAGCCCACGAGGCCUGCUUGCCGUCUUCUCCUGACUUCACCCGCCUCCCUGCAAAAGUCUCCCCAACCCAGUGGACUUUGGCUUUUUGAGACAGACUCGCUGUGUACUUCACGCCUCCAACCUGUGGCACCCUCCUGCCUCAGCCUCCCUUUAAUCUCAGAGGCCCCACCUCCUCCUGGCAGCACCUGCAGUGUCCUCAGGCCUGGCUCUCUCUAGGCCGCCCAGGCAGGGUCCUGUCCUCCUGGGCCAGAGCUUGGCUUCCUGGGGCUGGGGCUGGAGGCCCAGGCAAACGCUUGGAGCCACUGCAGCCUCCGGGCCAUGUCCUGGGCUGCUCUGGAGAAGGCAGGAGUCCCUGCCUGUGCUGCUGCCGGGGACCCUGGACGUAUGGGGUGUGCAGGGGCAGCGUGGGCUGGGGUCCACUCGGGCGCUGGCUCCUCCCCACCUGCAGACCCCGAGACUCCGGGCGGUGUCCCGAAGCCGGGUCUUCCUUACCCUGCUGGGGGCCGGAGAGCCCGGGUCCUGCUCGUGAGACCCAGAGACGGAGAGCGAAGGGAAGAGACGUGGAGAGACAGGCGGAGGCCAGGCCCAGGGGCGCUGGGAGUGGCUGGGAAGGCGGAAGACGGACCCUAAGAUACAGGUGGUGCCAGGCCGAGAGUGGUACCGGAUCAGGCUGUGAAAGUCACAGUCAAUAACCACGGCGUAACACCCUGUUAACGUAACACGGGUGGGGUGGGGCACUGGGGGAGGCUGAGGCAGGAGGGUCUUCUCCAUGAGUUCAAAGCCAGCCUGGAAUACAGAGGGAGACCCUGUCAAACACGAAUGAACAGGACCCUACCCUGUGCUCCCGACUUUUCUUGCAAUCCGUGGGUAAUGCAACAAGAGACAAUUUUUUUUCAGUUUGGUACCGGGGAUGGAGCUCAGGACUGUGUGACGAAGUGAAUUUUGUCCCCGCAUAGGCCAGUAUUGUGCGGCCAAGUGGCCCUCAUUCCCAGAGACUUGAGAAGGAACUGAAGCCAGUCCCACGUGACCUUCCGCUUGUUCUGACUUUUCCGUACAUUUCCCACCCGUGAGUUCUGCAGCCCACAAUGUCAGGCCCUGGGUUCUGCAGGACUGAACGGGGCAAAACAGCGGGGAAGCAUCCCUGCGCUGUUUGUUUGUUUCCUUUUUGAGACAGGGUCUCACUGUGUAGCCUAGGUUGGUCUCCAACUCGUGAAGAUCCUCCUGCCUCAGCCUCCCAACUGCUGGGAAAGUGCCCAGAGCGUGGAUGAGGCCUGGCCUUGCUGUGUGCUGUUCCUGGCCUGUGCUGUGAGGAUUGCGAGGGGCGGUCUGCUUCCGAGCAGGGUGGGGGUGCACGGGUCCCUGGGCUUCUCCAGAAACCCAGUCAAGAGUCUGUGAGACCCAGCUGGGCACAGAGGCGACUCAUACCUGUCAGCUCAGCACUCAGGAGGCUGAGGUAAGGUGAUCACAGGUACCUCUGAGGUGCUCCUUGAAGCCCGGGCACAGGGACAGAGCGGCCAUGGGACGGGGUGGACGAGGGACAGGAUGGGCAGGUGGCCACCGCCCGCGUCAUGCCCGGAGAGCGGGUGACACGGCGGCCAGCAGGAGUGGGGUGAUGUCACAGGGAGCGCGGGAGGAGGAGGAGGCGCCAGUGACACCACAUCGGCGGACAGGGACAGUACGGUAGCCGCCCGGUGCCCAGAGGGAGGACACAGCGGUCACAUUGGAGCAGGGCCCUGGGGGGCUGAGACCGGGCUCCAAACACAGGCAUCUGGGGAAGAGCUGGGCGAGGUGGCCCUGGCUGCUCCUCUGUGUGCCGGGCCACAGCACGGGUGGGUGACCGGGGGGUGGGGGGCAGUGGGAGGGUGGCCCCGACCUGACCUCGGUCUUGUGGGGAGCAUGUGACGGGGACAAGAGCCACUCGUGCCAGAAGGACCCAGCCCUGGCCGCAACCCAAGCCUGGUGUCCCAACCACGGGGGAGAGGCUGUUUGCUCUGCGUGGGACCCAGGGUGACCCAGCCUAGAGCGGAUGCUGGGCACCCAGCAGGGGCCCCGUGGGGAUGGGCGCUGGCUGGCGCAGGCCCGUGUGUUCGUUCGUUUGUUCAGAUUUUCGGAGCCCAGGCUGGCUGGAAGUCACAGGAACCCUCCUGCCUCAGCCUCCCGAGUGUGGGCGGGUGGGCACGCCCCUCUGCGACUGGUGAGCCCGUGCUUUUAGUAAUUGUGGGAAUUAGAAGAAAAGCACAGAUCUACAGAGGAGACAGCUUUACUUGGGAAGUGAGCAGGGACAGGGCUACCCUGGUAUCACGGAGACCCCGAGAGCAGGCCCCAGUCUGCAAACCCGGUGCCUUCCUCCUCCUGGGCACCUGGGUCGGAGCAGCAGCCCACGUUGGUCUUGCUGCAGAAAUGAUUUCUGGCACUCGCUCGGGAGGCUGAGGCAGGAGGCUGCCUUCAGUUCCAGGCCAGCUACACAGUGAUAUCCAAUCCCCAAAAAGCAAAACAAGAAAGGAAGGAAGGGAGAGAGGGAGGGGAGGGGAGGCAGGCAGUGUGAAGAGCCCGCCUCCCGCCCCUCCUCCUCCCACCGC
rnacentral:lncRNA from 1 species